CCCCAAAUAACCCCAAAAUUGCCCCAAAUAACCCCAAAAUGGCCCAAAUGGCCCCAAAUAACCCCCAAAUAACCCCAAAAUUGCCCCAAAUAACCCCAAAAUUGCCCCAAAUGGUCCCAAAUAACCCCACCCCCCCCCCCCCCCCUGAAUAACCCCAAAAUUACCCCCAAAUGACCCCAAAAACAGCCCCAAAUAUUUCGGGUUCAUUUUGGAGCUUUUCUUUGAAAAUUGCACUUCUGUACAAACGGCGCUUUUACCGAUUUUGGGGUUUUUUGCCUUUUUUUUGGGGGGGGGGGGGGGGUUCAAUUUUUGGGGUGGAAAAUAAAGAAAUUGGGACCCAACGCUGCUGUGGUUUUGUGGGGAGAUCCCAUAAUCCGGGAUUAUGGUCCUUAAUCCGGGAUUAGAGAGCCUUAAUCUGGGAUUACAGCCCAUAAUAUGGGAUUAGAGACCCUUAAUAUGGGAUUACAGCCCAUAAUAUGGGAUUAGAGACCCUUAAUCUGGGAUUAGAGACCAUAAUAUGGGAUUAGAGAGCCUUAAUCUGGGAUUAGAGACCAUAAUAUGGGAUUAGGGACCCUUAAUCUGGGAUUACAGCCCAUAAUAUGGGAUUAGGGACCCUUAAUCUGGGAUUGCAGCCCAUAAUAUGGGAUUAGAGACCCUUAAUCUGGGAUUGCAGCCCAUAAUAUGGGAUUAGAGAGCCUUAAUCUGGGAUUGCAGCCCAUAAUAUGGGAUUAGAGAGCCUUAAUCUGGGAUUACAGCCUAUAAUAUGGGAUUAGGAACUCUUAACCUGGGAUUACAGACCAUAAUACGGGAUUAGAGAGCCUUAAUCUGGGAUUACAAUCCAUAAUGUGGGAUUAGAGAGCCUUAAUAUGGGAUUAGGGACCCUUAAUCUGGGAUUGCAGUCCAUAAUAUGGGAUUAAAGGCCCUUAGUACGGGAUUAGAGAGCCUUUAUCUGGGAUUACAGUCUAUAAUGUGGGAUUAGAGAGCCUUAAUAUGGGAUUAGAGGCCCAUAAUAUGGGAUUAGAGUCCCGUAAUCCUAUAUUACAGACCUACUAUGUAAGGAAACCCCAUAAUCUGGCAUUGCAAUCCCCUAAUCCCACAUUGAAGACCAAUAAUAUGGGGAUACACCCCAUAAUACAAGACUACAGUGCCGUAAUUCCUAAUGGGAGUCCCAGAACCCGAGAUUAGAGGCCCAUAAUCUGGGGGAAACCCCAUAAUCUGGGAUUGCGAUCCCCUAAUCCCAUAUUAGAGACCCAUAAUAUGGGAUUAGACCUCCAUAAUCUGGGAUGGGAGUCCCAAAAGAUGGGAUUAGAGGCCUAUAGAUUCAGAUUAGAGGCCCAUAAUCUCAGAUUAGGGAUCCACACUCCGAGGGAUCCCCAUAAUCCGGGAUUCAGUCUCAUAAUCCGGACGUAGUGUUUUAUAAUCCAGAUUUAGUGUGCCAUAAUCCAGGGAAUGCCAUAAUCUGGGGCUGAACCCCGAAAUCCAGGGAUGAAAUGACCAUAAUCCCAUGGGGGGGUCCCCCUAAUCUGCAUUUGGAGUCACAGAAACCAGGAGGACCCCGUAAUCUGGGAAUGGUGCACCCAUAAUCUGGGAUUGGAGCCCCACAGUCCAAAGGGGGGGGCUCGUAAUCCAGGAGGAUCCCAUAAUCCAGCUUUGUAGUGUUCAUAAUCCAGAGUGAGGCCCAUAAUCCAGCUUUGUAGUGUUCAUAAUCCACAGUGAGGCCCCAUAAUCCAGGGGCCUCUUCAUAAUCUGGGCUUGGGCUGCCCAUAAUCCGGGUGCAAAUACCCAUAAUCCGGGGGGGGGGGGGAUGCCCUUUAUCGAGAAGAUGGAUGGAUAAUCCAGGAGUAUCCUCAUAAUCCGGGUUGAGAUGCCCAUAAUCUGGGUUGGGGUGUCCAUAAUCCAGGGUGUGACCCCAUAAUCCGGAUUGGGGUGCCCAUAAUCCGGGUUGAGAUGCCCAUAAUCCGGGUUGGAGUGCCCAUAAUCCAGGGUGUGACCCCAUAAUCCCGGUUGAGAUGCCCAUAAUCCGGGUUGGGGUGCCCAUAAUCUGGGAUGUGGGUGCGUAAUCCAGAGCGUGAUCCCAUAAUCCAGCUUGAAAUGCCCAUAAUCCAGGUUGGAGUGCCCAUAAUCUGAGCUGUGAGCCCAUAAUCCGCGUUGAGGUGCCCAUAAUCCAGAGCAGGGACCCCAUAAUCCAGGAUUAGCUCCCCAUAAUCUGGCUGGAGGCCCCCCUACGGGAGGUGCUCGGCCCUAUGAGAUGACGGAGAGGUAACGGGGAGGGGGGGGGGUCAUCAGUGUGACCCCAUCCCGGGAUUAGGAUAUGUGGGAUUAGGGGAUUAUGGGAUUAUGGGGGGACGGCACUCACUCGGGGGGGGCAUCACAGCGGCUGCCGGAGCGCUCCCGGCCUGGGGGGGGCGUCCCGUGGUAAUCUGGGGGGGGUGAACGGGUCGUAAUCCUAAUCUGAAUCCCAUCAUUCCACUUAAUCCCAUAAUCCCGCCUAAGCACCCGGACUCAAAUAUCCCCAUAAUUCAUCUUAAUCCCACACUUCCAGCCCCAUGUAGCCCUCUAAUCCCAUCUCCCCACAUCCUACAACCCCAUAGCCCUAUAAUCCCACAACCCAACCACCCCAUAAACCCAUAAUCCCACAACCGAUGACCCCAUAAUCCCAUAAUCCCACCUCCCCACACCCCCAUAGUCUGCAUAAUACCACCCCCCACAUCCCAAAAACCCCAUAAUCUCAUAAUCCCACAGCCGAUAACCCCAUAAGCCCAUAAUCCCACCUCCCCACACCCCCGUAACCCGCAUAAUCCCACCCCCCACAUCCCAAACACCCCAUAACCUCAUAAUCCCACACCCCACGAUCCCCCAAAUCCCACCCCCUGCCCCCCGAACACCCCCAUAACCCACACAAUCCCACUCCCAGCAUCCCAAAGACCUCAUAACCCAAUAAUCUCACACGUCCUGCCCCAUAAUCCCGGCCUCCCUGCCCCAUAAUCCCAACUCCCACCCCCUAAUCACUCAUCCCCAUCACAUUAAUCCCCCCCUGCCCCAUAAUCCCGGCCUCCCUGCCCCGUAAUCCCAACUCCCACCCCCUAAUCCCUCAUCCCCAUCCCAUUAAUCCCCCCCUGCCCCAUAAUCCCGGCCUCCCUGCCCCAUAAUCCCA
ensembl:lncRNA